rnacentral:rRNA from 1 species
UACAGAGGGGGCAAGCGUUGUUCGGAAUUACUGGGCGUAAAGGGCGCGUAGGCGGCCUGUUAAGUCGAACGUGAAAUCCCCGGGCUCAACCCGGGAACUGCGUCCGAUACUGGCAGGCUUGAAUUCGGGAGAGGGAUGCGGAAUUCCAGGUGUAGCGGUGAAAUGCGUAGAUAUCUGGAGGAACACCGGUGGCGAAGGCGGCCAACUGGACAGAUACUGACGCUGAGACACGAAAGCGUGGGGAGCAAACAGG